UGCAAGUCGAGCGGUAAGGCCCUUUCGGGUGGGUGUUGAGUGGCGAACGGGUGAGUAACACGUGGGUAAUCUGCCCUGCACUCUGGGAUAAGCCUGGGAAACUGGGUCUAAUACCGGAUAGGACCUUUCCUCGCAUGGGGGAGGGUGGAAAGUUUUUGGCGGUGCAGGAUGGGCCCGCGGCCUAUCAGCUUGUUGGUGGGGUGAUGGCCUACCAAGGCGAUGACGGGUAGCCGGCCUGAGAGGGCGACCGGCCACACUGGGACUGAGACACGGCCCAGACUCCUACGGGAGGCAGCAGUGGGGAAUAUUGCGCAAUGGGCGAAAGCCUGACGCAGCGACGCCGCGUGAGGGAUGACGGCCUUCGGGUUGUAAACCUCUUUCAGCCCUGACGAAGCGAAAGUGACGGUAGGGGCAGAAGAAGCACCGGCCAACUACGUGCCAGCAGCCGCGGUAAUACGUAGGGUGCAGGCGUUGUCCGGAAUUAUUGGGCGUAAAGAGCUCGUAGGCGGUCUGUCGCGUCGGCUGUGAAAACUCGGGGCUCAACCCCGAGCUUGCAGUCGAUACGGGCAGGCUGGAGUUCGGCAGGGGAGACUGGAAUUCCUGGUGUAGCGGUGAAAUGCGCAGAUAUCAGGAGGAACACCGGUGGCGAAGGCGGGUCUCUGGGCCGAUACUGACGCUGAGGAGCGAAAGCGUGGGGAGCGAACAGGAUUAGAUACCCUGGUAGUCCACGCCGUAAACGUUGGGCGCUAGGUGUGGGAUCUCUUCCACGGGUUCCGUGCCGCAGCUAACGCAUUAAGCGCCCCGCCUGGGGAGUACGGCCGCUAGGCUAAAACUCAAAUGAAUUGACGGGG
rnacentral:rRNA from 1 species